GUGAAUGCUUUGUUCUGGGAGCCCCACUGUCAACAGAACAGUUCUUUGCCUAUGUGGCCACGAUUGUCUGUUUAUUUGUAUUCCUUGUGCAGAUUAUAAUUUUGUGUUGAUAUAAGGUCCGUUAUCAAAACAGGAGAAAAGUAAUCACAGGUUUCUGUGUGUGUAGGGGUGGGGGAGCAUGGAGAGGUGUGGCCUAGGCUCUCGAUAGCUUAACUGGCUUGACUGCAGAUUUCCUCUUGAUUGAACAAAGGGAGCCAGGGAAGCCUCCAUCUGGAUGCCGAGAUUCUGGUGUCCUGGACGCAGAAAAACACGUUUCUGAAGCUGAAGAAGAUCCAAUAUGUAGAAUUCAGAAGGUGUCCUUCCAGGACUUGGGUAGUACAGGACCCACCCUGAGUUCAUAUAUUCCUAAAUGCUGAUGUUCAUUGGAUUCUAUCAUUUGGGGCCAGGCCACACUUCAGGCCAAAUCCAUAUUAUGAAGACCUGGAGAGAAUGGAGGAGGCAGUCAUGUCAAUUCUGCACAACUUAGAGAUGGAGAACACUGAGAUCCAUGAGAACAACCAUAAGCUGAAGAAGGAGAUUACCUUCUCUAGAAACCUGCUCAGCCAGCUCCUGAUGGAGAACACAUGUAGGAAGAAGUUGCUCCCACUGAAGCAGGAGAGCAAGGAGGGACAUCUUGAUUGUGCACUGAACCAGAAAUAUUUGGUUGACUUCAACAAGAAAGAUAAAGACCAGCAACGUCCAGACCCAGCAUCAUCUGGUCUCAGAAAGUGCAAGAGAGCUGGAAUUGGACACACCCCAGUAAGAGAGCUUCCUGAAGAAUAAGUUGCUUUCUCAGGAGUCCCUGAUGACAAACAUCCUGAAUGAAAACAGCACCUGAGAGACAACUUGGGGGACAGCCUUUCAUUAUGUGUGCAAGAGGAGAAAC
ensembl:lncRNA